AAAGGGCGCGUAUGCGGCCGAUUAAGUCGGGGGUGAAAGCCUGUGGCUCAACCACAGAAUUGCCUUCGAUACUGGUUGGCUUGAGACCGGAAGAGGACAGCGGAACUGCGAGUGUAGAGGUGAAAUUCGUAGAUAUUCGCAAGAACACCAGUGGCGAAGGCGGGUGUCUGGUCCGGUUCUGACGCUGAGGGCGCGAAAGCGUGGGGAGCAAACAGGAUUAGAUACCCUGGUAGUCCACGCCGUAAACGAUGUAUGCCAGCCGUUGGCCUGCUUGCAGGUCAGUGGCGCCGCUAACGCAUUAAGCAUUCCGCCUGGGGAGUACGG
rnacentral:rRNA from 1 species